rnacentral:rRNA from 1 species
GAUCAUGGCUCAGGAUGAACGCUAGCUACAGGCUUAACACAUGCAAGUCGAGGGGCAUCAGGAAUCUAGCUUGCUAGAUUUGCUGGCGACCGGCGCACGGGUGAGUGACGCGUAUCCAACCUUCCCCUUAGUAGGGCAUAGCCCGGCGAAAGUCGGAUUAAUACCCUAUGUUAUCCGAAGAAGACAUCUGAAUUGGAUUAAAGAUUUAUCGCUAAGGGAUGGGGAUGCGUCCGAUUAGGUUGUUGGCGGGUAACGGCCCACCAAGCCUUCGAUCGGUAGGGGUUCUGAGAGGAAGGUCCCCCACACUGGUACUGAGACACGGACCAGACUCCUACGGGAGGCAGCAGUGAGGAAUAUUGGUCAAUGGGCGCGAGCCUGAACCAGCCAAGUAGCGUGCAAGGAUGACGGCCCUAUGGGUUGUAAACUGCUUUUAUGCGGGGAUAAAGUGCGCCACGUGUGGUGUUUUGUAGGUACCGCAUGAAUAAGGACCGGCUAAUUCCGUGCCAGCAGCUGC